AGAGGCUUAUGAUGAUUAAGAAUUGCCUACAUUGUCUGAUAUUCUAUCUGACGACAAUGAACAUAACAAAUCUGAGGCCUAA